ACAGGUUGUGGCUGAGCUCGGGGCCGGGGCAGCGGCGCUUGCCCUUGGGAGGGAGAAAACAGGCAAAGGACAGGAUGUGGUGAGCGUCGGCCCGCGAAACCCCGCGGCCACAGCCUGAGGAAGUCUGUAGACAACAGGCUCGGCACGAAGGAGAAAGAGCUGACGUGGCUGUGAGGUGCCGCUGGUGGGAGCAGAGCUGGGAAGGGAGCCUGGGUGUGACUGUGGGGCUGGGAGUGAGCGGGGAGAGGGACAGGAGACGGGAAGGGGCUGCUGGAGCGCAGGAGGACGGCCAGAGGUGCGCGGGCCCCCACCGCAGCCCCAGCUCCCAGAUGGUGCACGGACCAACCACUCAACAAUCAGCCUCGGAGGAAUUGUCUUCUCGCACCUGUGAAGUGCUAUUGGAUUCACCCACUGUGCCAGCCCCUUCCUACGAACAGUCGGUCUCACUCUGCUACUCGUGUCUCGAGGCUUCUCUACACGCCCAUCAUAUUGAUGCUGUCGUACUCAUGGUUCUUUUCUUUUGUGCCAGUUUUUCUGUUAUAUGCAAGAAGAUGCUCUCUGCCCGCAGGACCAUACGGACACUCUUCUUUCUCCCGUCACGUUGGAAUUCUUGUUUCUCUGCUUAGAGCUUUAACCUCAGUGGGAUCCAGUUUUGUGAAUGGUGUAAAUGAGGGAUUUGGCUCAUUUACUGGCUGUGAGUCCUGUGCCCAGAGCUACACUUCCCGUGAGCAUGUUUGCCACUUAAUGCCGGACACCGGCCCUGCUCCCGGCCCUGCUCCCGGCCUUGCCCCCUGGUCUGCCCCCUGCCCUGCUCCCGGCCUUGCUCCCUGCCCCCUGCCCUGCCCCCUGCCCUGCUCCCUGCCCUGCUCCUGGCCUCUGCCACUUUUCACAGUCUUCUGUCCCAGGUCUGCCACUUACCUGCCCAGCAGGGGUGAGAUCCCUCAGGGAGUCGGAGAUAGAGCCUCUUCCUGUCCUUCCAAGGGGAGCAGUGUAUGGAGGCUUUGGAGGAUGUUUCUGACAACACUGGGGUGUGCACCGUUCCAGCUCCCAGGUUCCAAGGUGGAAGUCACCAGAAGGAAGAACAGAAGCAAAGACAAUGCCAGGCUAAAGCAGGAGCCCACCCUUCCUGUCUGGGGGCCGCACCCGGGGCUGCUGACCUGGUGGCUACUCAGCAUGGUGCCUGAGCGUUCACAGACGUUGAGUGACCCUGAGCGUUCACGGGCACUGAGUGACCCCACUGCCCUCUUUGGAAGCGUCCUGGGGGCAGAUUUGCCGUGGUCCUUGUGCAGCCGAUGUCUGUCCCACCUGGAGCGACUGACCCACCUGUGGUGAUGGGGUGGAUGGAGACAGGCCCUCUGUUAGAGGCAAUCGGAGCAAAUUAUCAAACUCUAAAGCCAGAGGACCCUUAGGGCUUCACUGAGUGGUGGCAGGAGCCACGUGACACAGCCGGAAACCCCAUCCAUGCCCUGGGGAGAUUUUCCCUUGGUGAGGGACCCUGCAGUGCGGCCCAGCCUUUCAGCCUUUCUGCUUUCCUUUAUUCUGUUUCUGCUGUCUUUCCUGGACCAGCAAGGUGGCUAACUAGGAAUUCGUAUCGCAGCUGUCACGAUCUCUUUCGUGUCUAUAGCAUGAACUGCGAUUUCCUUCCCUCCUGGGCUGUGUUGUGGAAAAGAUGAGCCCACGGAGGGUGUCUGGAAUAAACGGGGAAUCCUCCCACCAGCACGCCCGCCUCUGCUGGGAGCAUGAGGCAGCACGAUUCUCUGGGCGGCAGCUUGUCUCCACCGCGGGGCUCUAACCGAUCUGCCACCAGAGCCACUGACGUCCUUCCCCAGCCAGGAGCCUCUGCAGUCCCUGCUCCCACCCUCAAGGGCACACGAGUUCAGAGUCAUUCCCAGGUUGCACGGAGCAGUUUGAGGAGGGAAUGGAUGGGGUCUCCUCCCGUCGAAUGGCUCCCCUGGCUCCUCUGCAGGUCAGCACCUUGGAAAGGCACGUGGGUGUCAGCGCAGCCGCAGGCCCAGCCUGUCUGCCUCCUGGAGGCCCCAGGCAUGCUGCCUCUUCCCCUGUUGCCCUGGCCCUGGGGAGCUCUGGUGCCGUCUGCCUCAUCCCCGAGGCAACGUCUCUGCUGCUGGACCAAACACGGCCUGAGUCCCUCGCAGCCUAUGCUCUGCCCACAGACACCAGAUCCACAGUUAGAACAAACGUGUGUGCCUUGGCCUGGCUGUAGGGCCUGCCAAGCGUCUGGGACUCAUGAAGGGCUCCGGGAUUUCAGCUCUGGUCCAGUCCACUGGCCUGAGCCAGCUGCAAUGGGCUGCAGGGGAGUGGGGGAGGCAGGCUCGAUCAGAACCACAGCCUGGGAGGGCCUGGCUGGGAGGCCCCUGCUCCCAGAAACUCACCUUCUCCCAGAGGGGUCUCUGUCCAGCAGGCGAGCCUGGCCCCAGGCCUCUCUGCAGCAGGCAUGGACUGGCUGGGUGACCCUCAGGGAACUGUAGCUGGUGUUCAGCAGCACUGCCGUGCUAGGCUCCACCUCCCACCUGGCGCGGCGCCUGCUCCCCAACUCCCCUUGUUCCCAAACCUCCCCCUGAACCAGCCUCAUGUCCCCCAACCAUUGGGACCAGAGUGGCAGCUGACUGCAGGUCCCAGCAUCCCAGGACAGCCCGCCACGCGCUGGGAGCCACGGCCGAGCUCCUUCCAUUCCGGUUCACACCCAGACCGUCCGAGCUCUGCCCAUCAGCCACCACGCGCUGGGAGCCACGGCCGAGCUCUUUCCAUUCCGGUUCACACCCAGACCCUCCGAGCUCUGCCCAUCAGCCACCACGCGCUGGGAGCCAUGGCUGAGCUCCUUCCAUUCCGGUUCACACCCAGACCAUCCGAGCUCUGCCCAUCAGCCACCACGCGCUGGGAGCCAUGGCUGAGCUCCUAGGGCCUGCAGAUGAACCAGUUCCUGAGCUGGGGCUGGGGACGGGCAGGCCAGGAGCCGGAACCUCUCAGUGUACUGCAUGCAUCUACACCCCACAGUGGGGAGGAGUGAAGGGUCUUUCUCUUAUUCCCUCUGGGCUGCUGAAUUUGUUGUAUUUUUUAUAGUUUGAAGAAGAGAAUAGGCACAGACUCCCCUGCCAGCCAGCCAGACACCUCCUGCCAUGUUUCACGUGUGGCAUCUGACCCCAGCUUUGGUUCAGCAGUCAGGAGUCACCCUGGUGGCUGGGAGGCCAGGGACCCCCUACCUGGGAAUCCUAAGUCCUUUGCUUUGGGAAGGCUCAUUGCCUUUGAAACUGGCCCUCCAUUCCCACUUAAUCAAGGAGGAGGAGCUUUGUCUGAAGUGCGGAGAUGGCCGUGGUCCCGAUGGAUGGGCUGCUAUUGGACACAGCAAUUUGUGGGCAGGAGACUGGACUCCACGAGCAUCUGAGCCAGGCACUGCAGGCCUGCGUCUACCCAUCCUGGGCUGGAGGGGAGGCAGGGCUGGUGUUCGAAGGGGUGGAAAUAGGACUGAGGGCUCUUCUCGGAGAAGGGGAUGCUCUUGCCUGCUGCCUUCCAUGUUCGAAGGGGUGGAAAUAGGACUGAGGGCUCUUCUCAGAGAAGGGCAUGCUCUUGCCUGCUGCCGUCCUUGGAAAGGCUCCCCACCUGGCCAGCACCCUCUCGGGGGUCCAGGGAUCUCCAGCCUGUGGGCAGUCGGCCAAGCCCCUUGGGAAAAUGAGCCCCUGGGCAGGAGGUGAGGAGGCACAGAGGUUGGUCCCCCUCAGAACGUCGGCCACCAUGACUGAGGCACUGACCGGGGAGGGCACUUGGCCUCGGGCUGUUGUCCAGCCCCCUGCGCUUGUUCCUGCAGCAGAGGCUGCAGUCACUCCCCUUCUGACUCGCCCUUCCCUUUCCUCCAUGCCGCCCUGCGCACGGCCCCUCCGAAGGUCGGGCCAGACCUUCCCCUGUGAGGUCUCCAGGGUUCCGCUCUGGGGAGGGCUGUGUUCUAAGGACCACUGUCCUUGCCCUGCCAGCACCUCUGCAGUUGUGAGAGGCCCCUUCCUUCUCUGCAGCUCAAUGAGCAUGGGGACCUCAGCCCAGCCUUCUUUCUCCCUCCGGAGGCCACACAUCUCUUGAGCCAGUCGUGGCCUCUUCCACAGCCAACUUGUCCUUGUGGCCCAGUCUGGCCUGGAGCCAGCAGUAAAUGUGACCCCAGCUUGGGAACAGAGUGCGGGCCCUGGAGCUUUGGGGAUUGUGAGGGAACAAGGCGGCCAGGCCAGGUUCUCCCAGCGGUUAAAAGGCCCACCCCUUCCCGGGUCUCAAUUCUGGGCUGAUUUCCCCAGGACAGCAUUCUUGUGUCAACUCGCUGUUACCCCAGCUGACGGCCUCACAUCUGCUGAGGCAAUGCCACCUCUCCAGAGUGAAAAGCUCCUAAGACAGAGCCAUUCUCCCCGAGUUGAUUAUUCCCUUGAAUUGUUAUAAAUCUCCCCUUGCUAUUUCUCUCUGAACAUCAUUUAUGAGCACCUUGCGUCUCCGUCGAUGAGAAAGUGCAUUAACCCUGCAGGCUGUGUCUGGGAAGGCUCUGCCCUAAUCCGUUCAGAACCAAGGCCUCGGCACCUACAGCUUCGUUUCUGGUCCUUUUUCAGACCAUUCCCAGUGCCUUCCUCUCCCUCCCAGCCCUGGGCCCUCCCAGCCGCCCUCCGCGCAGGCAGCCUGGAGCCACCUCCAGGAGGGCUGGCCGCCACUGUAAUUACAGGCGCCUCUCCGCGCCCUGGGGCUCGGCUCUGCAAAUUAAACUGUUUUCUGCUUUUUAUCUCCAUCUUCGCAGCUCUCCUUCUGACUAAUAAGUCCAGCAACUGGUGAUGCUCUUCCAAUGCUUUUACUAGGAAGCCUGAGCUUUAAUUUUCUGACAAUCACAAAGGCCCCUGGAACAGCAGCCUGUGCACGCUCAGCCGCUCCUGAGGUCAGCUGCGAGCACGUUGAUGGGGAAGGCUCUGAACGUGUUUCUUCUCAGAGCCUCUAAAUCACAUCUUCCCUUCAUUGUAGACGCGGACGGACGGCACAGUAAUGGGGUCUGUGGGAGGCUGUGCUCACACCCGCAGCUGCAGGAUAAUCGCCUCCUUCAGCAGGGCUGGGGGAGCUCAGUCCUGCCUUUCUCCCAGGGAACCUGGGGUAGAGCCCUCGGCACAUUCAUAAAACGAUGAACAAUUACCGCGCCUGAAGACCUCUAUCAUCAACCAGGGGAAACGACUGUUUUUCUGUAGCCUGUGAAUUCAGCUUUUAUGACUAAAUGACUACUUAAACCUCAGAACUCUAAGCAUUACCAUUUGCUUCCUAAAAAUAGCUGUCUCCUCUGGUCCAUAUUUAGAACAGAAAAUACACUGGGAGGAGGGGGCCCGUCACAGCCCCUGCUGCCCCACCUGGCAGGGCCUCCUUAACCCUUCCCCACUCUGAACCAGCCCUAUAGGCUUAGAGAAGGGAGGACGGGUGUGUUUUUCCCCAAGAGACAAAAGUUAACCUGAAACACAAAGGUCAUUCUCAGAUGAGCCAGCUCCUUCCAGACAGAAAGAGCACUGGGACCACGCACAACACUUCCAGGAAGU
rnacentral:lncRNA from 1 species